rnacentral:rRNA from 1 species
AUGGACCGUGGACGUUCAACGGUCUUGGCGCGCGUAGCAGUAAAAGUAGCGACCGGCUUCCCGAAUCACAAGUUUCCUGAGCAGGGAUCAACCAUGGAGAUCGCGCACCUCGCGUACGUGCUCCUCUUCCUCUUCGCCGCCGUCGUACUUUAUGUCCAGCGCCGCCGAGUUUCUCCGUCGACGAAGCCAAGAACGGCGUACUGUCCUCACCCGAACCCCGUUCUGGGCAACACCGUGGAGUUCAUCCGCAACCGCGGGAGGUUCUUCGACUGGUACGCCGACAUGCUGCGCGCGUCGCCGUCCAACACCAUCGAGGCGUGGGGGGCCUUGGGCGCCAGCCACGCCGUGACCACCGCCGACCCGGCCGCCGUCGACCACCUGCUGCGCGCAAGCUUCGCCAACUACAACCGUGGCGCGCAAUUCCGCGCGGCGCAGUCCGACCUCAUCGGCGACGGCCUCUUCGGCGCCGAUGGCCGCCUCUGGAGCCUCCAGCGCAAGCUGGCGUCAUACGCUUUCUCCUCCCGCUCGCUACGGCGUUUCAGCGAAGACGUCCUCGCCGUUCACCUCGGCCGUCGCUUCCUGCCGUUCCUCGAUGGCGCCGCGGGGUCCGGCGAGGUCGUCGACCUGCAGGAGGCGCUGCGUCGGUUCGCGUUUGACAACAUCUGCUACGUCGCCUUCGGCGUCGAGAGCUCCACGCUCCUCGAGUGGGGUGACCCCCGGCACCAGGCGCUCUUCGCGGCGUUCGAUACGGCCGUCGAGAUCUCCUUCAUGAGGACGUUGACGGCGCCCACACCGGUGCGGAAGCUCACGAAGCUUCUCAACAUCGGCAAGUCGCGCCGGCUCCGAGAAGCCGUCGGCGUCAUAGACGACCACGCCAUGUCCGUCAUCGAAGCCAAGGAGGUGAGCCAGAGAAACAGCCGCGAUGAGGGCGAUCCGGACCUGCUCUCCCGGUUCAUGGCGGCCAUGGACGAGGAGGACGGCGGCGGUGAACUCGCCGCCAUGUUCCCCACGCCGGAGGCCAAACGCCGAUUCCUGCGGGACGUGGUCGUCAGCUUCGUUCUCGCCGGCAAGGACACGACGACCUCGGCCCUGACGUGGUUCUUCUGGCUCCUCGCCGCGAACCCGCGGUGCGAGCGGCGCGUCCACGACGAGGUGUCGCGGUCGCCGGACGGCAACGUGAAAGGCAUGCACUACCUGCACGCCGCGAUCACCGAGGCGAUGCGCCUGUACCCGCCGGUUCCCUUCAACGGGCGGGUAGCCGUCGCCGACGACGUCCUCCCGGACGGCACGGCGGUGCGCGCCGGCUGGUACGCCAACUACUCGGCGUACGCGAUGGGGCGGAUGGAGAAGCUGUGGGGCGAGAACUUCCUGGAGUUCGCGCCGGAGCGCUGGCUCGGUGACAGCGGCGAGUUCGCGCCAGUGGACGCGGCGCGUUAUCCGGUGUUCCACGCCGGGCCGCGUGCGUGUCUCGGGAAGGAGAUGGCCUACAUGCAGAUGAAGACGGUCGCGUCAGCCGUCCUUCGGAGGUUCAGGUUGGACGUGGUGGCACCGACGGCCAGUAUGGAGUCGCCGCCGGCGUACGAGAUGACCGGCACGAUGAAGAUUAAAGGCGGGCUUCAAGUGCAGCUCCGGAUGAGUGAUGCUAACAAGUCUUCGUUGGCCACGUCGGGAUCUGGACAAGAAGUGGACUAA